UUGCUUUGGCAGCACAUAUACUAAAAUUGGAACGAUAUAGAGAAGAUUAGCAUGGACUGCUUUCAAUGCAUGAGACACUUAAAGCUGGCAGAUGUUGAUGGUGCAU